UUUCGCAAUGCCCGAAAGGGUGACGAAGCGACGCCGCGUGCGGGAAGAAGGCCUUCGGGUUGUAAACCGCUGUCGGGAGUUAAGAAAUGUAAGGAUGUUAAUAGCAUCUUUGCUUGACUAAGGCUCCGGAGGAAGCCACGGCUAACUCUGUGCCAGCAGCCGCGGUAAUACAGAGGCGGCAAGCGUUGUUCGGAAUUUUUGGGCGUAAAGAGCACGUAGGCGGCUAUGUAAGUCGGUUGUGAAAGCCUUCCGCUCAACGGGAGAACAGCAUCCGAUACUGCAUGGCUUGAGUGCGGGAGGGGAGAGUGGAACUUCUGGUGGAGCGGUGAAAUGCGUAGAUAUCAGAAGGAACGCCGGCGGCGAAAGCGGCUCUCUGGCCCAUAACUGACGCUGAGUGUGCGAAAGCUAGGGGAGCAAACGGGAUUAGAUACCCCGGUAGUCCUAGCCGUAAACGAUGGGCACUAAGUAGAGGGGUUUUA
rnacentral:rRNA from 1 species